AGCAGCCGCGGUAAUUCCAGCUCCAAUAGCGUAUAUUAAAGUUGUUGCAGUUAAAAAGCUCGUAGUUGAAUUUCGGGGUUAGCAGGUCGGUCGUGCCAUCGGUAUGAACUGGUCUCACUGAUCCCUCCCUCUUGACGAACUGUGAUGCCAUUAAUUUGGUGUCGCAGGGAAUCAGGACUGUUACUUUGAAAAAUUAGAGUGUUUAAAGCAGGCUCACGCUUGAAUACAUUAGCAUGGAAUAAUGAAAUAGGACGUUUGAUCCUAUUUUGUUGGCUUCUAGGAUUGACGUAAUGAUUAAUAGGGAUAGUUGGGGCAUUAGUAUUCAAUUGUCAGAGGUGAAAUUCUUGGAUUUAUUGAAGACUAACUACUGCGAAGGCAUUUGCCAAGGAUGUUUUCAUUAAUCAAGAACGAAAGUUAGGGGAUCGAAGACGAUCAGAUACCGUCGUAGUCUUUAACCAUAAACUAUGCCGACUAGGGAUCGGAUGAUGUUAAUUUUUAAUGUAC
rnacentral:rRNA from 1 species